rnacentral:rRNA from 1 species
GCCGAACGCUGGCGGCGUGCCUAAUACAUGCAAGUAGAACGCAGUUGCGAACGGGUGAGUAACGCGUAGGUAACUGCCUGGUAGCGGGGGAUAACUAUUGGAAACGAUAGCUAAUACCGCAUACUACCAGAUGGACCUGCGUUGUAUUAGCUAGUUGGUGGGGUAACGGCUCACCAAGGCAACGAUACAUAGCCGACCUGAGAGGGUGAUCGGCGAAACGGGGACGGAGUCACGGCCCAGACUGCUACGGGAGGCAGCAGUAGGGAAUCGUGGGCAAUGGACGGAAGUCUGACCGAGCAACGCCGCGUGAGGGAAGAAGGUUUUCGGAUCGUAAAGCUCUGUUGUAAGAGAAGCGGUAGCUUACCAGAAAGUGACUGCUAACUACGUGCCAGCCGCCGCGGUAAUUC